AUAAGAGAAUGGUAACCUCGGUUUAAAAAUAUCCGGUUUGCAAAUGUUGUGUCAGAGCUGGGGAAAUUUUAUUUUAGAAAUCAUUUUAAUGCAAUCUUCUCAACUGCCUUAGCAUAAAUGCAAAAUAAAUAUUUGUUCAGUAUUUUCUUGCUAGGACAUUUUAAUAAAACCUGGAAUUUUAUGACACAUGCAAACAUAUCUCAGGAUCAAAUACUAUAUGAUGCCAAGUAGGAGGAGCCAUGUGUACAUAUAUAAGAGGUACAGUCAGAACAUCACAGGACAUUACAGCCAGCAGCAAAACAAUCCACACCAGAGGAGACCCAGACAGCAAGGUACAUGUUCUUAUUCUUACUGUCAGGGAAAAAGAAAGAAAGAAAAAAAAGCUAUAAUAAUAUAAUAUUAAAAAAAAAUCCUUUCAUGUUUUCAGAUGGUUCCAGUGUUGAUGUUACUCAUGG
ensembl:lncRNA